GAGUUUGAUCGUGGCUCAGAUUGAACGCUGGCGGCAGGCCUAACACAUGCAAGUCGGGCGGUAGAGAGAAGCUUGCUUCUCUUGAGAGCGGCGGACGGGUGAGUAAUGCCUAGGAAUCUGCCUGGUAGUGGGGGAUAACGCUCGGAAACGGACGCUAAUACCGCAUACGUCCUACGGGAGAAAGCAGGGGACCUUCGGGCCUUGCGCUAUCAGAUGAGCCUAGGUCGGAUUAGCUAGUUGGUGAGGUAAUGGCUCACCAAGGCGACGAUCCGUAACUGGUCUGAGAGGAUGAUCAGUCACACUGGAACUGAGACACGGUCCAGACUCCUACGGGAGGCAGCAGUGGGGAAUAUUGGACAAUGGGCGAAAGCCUGAUCCAGCCAUGCCGCGUGUGUGAAGAAGGUCUUCGGAUUGUAAAGCACUUUAAGUUGGGAGGAAGGGCAGUAAAUUAAUACUUUGCUGUUUUGACGUUUACCGACAGAAUAAGCACCGGCUAACUCUGUGCCAGCCGCCGA
rnacentral:rRNA from 1 species